rnacentral:miRNA from 1 species
UGAGAUACUGCUCAUCUCAGA